rnacentral:rRNA from 1 species
GACGAACGCUGGCGGCGUGCUUAACACAUGCAAGUCGAACGGAAAGGCCCUGCUUGUGAGGGGUGUUCGAGUGGCGAACGGGUGAGUAACAUGUGAGUAACCUGCCUUUGACUUUGGGCUAACAUCAUGAAACUGGGGCUAAUUCCGGUUAGGAGCUCCUGCUUCAUGGGGGGGGUUGGUAUGUUUCGGCGGUUGGGGAUGGACUCGCGGCUUAUCAGCUUGUUGGUGGGGUAGUGGCUUACCAAGGCUUUGACGGGUAGCCGGCCUGAGAGGGUGACCGGCCACAUUGGGACUGAGAUACGGCCCAGACUCCUACGGGAGGCAGCAGUGGGGAAUAUUGCACAAUGGGCGGAAGCCUGAUGCAGCAACGCCGCGUGCGGGAUGACGGCCUUCGGGUUGUAAACCGCUUUCGCCUGUGACGAAGCGUGAGUGACGGUAAUGGGUAAAGAAGCACCGGCUAACUACGUG